rnacentral:rRNA from 1 species
UACGGAGGGUGCAAGCGUUGUUCGGAAUUAUUGGGCGUAAAGGGCAGGUAGGUGGUCUUGAAAGUCUACUGUGAAAUCCCCGAGCUUAACUCGGGAAGUGCGGUGGAUACUCCAAGACUAGAGUGCUGGAGGGGUGCGUGGAAUUCCCGGUGUAGCGGUGAAAUGCGUAGAUAUCAGGAGGAACACCGGCGGCGAAGGCGGGUCUCUGGGCCAUAACUGACGCUGAGGAGCGAAAAGCGUGGGGGAGCGAACAGG